GGAGAGAUGGCUCAGAGUUUAAGAGCAUUGGACUGUUUUUCCAGAGGUCCUGAGUUCAAUUCCCAGCAACUACA
rnacentral:tRNA from 1 species